UUAGCUCAUAUUUGUAUGGAAUGGGAUCGUUUGCGUUGGUUUGGCGCUAGGGGCGCUGUUCCAACUGCAUACAAAAUUGGAUUA
rnacentral:pre_miRNA from 1 species